AGUGCCAUUGUACUGAUGGGAACUCUUUGAUCAUUCUGGUUUGUGUGCUUUUUUCUUUUCAGUAAGAACUCCAAGCCGCAAAUUGAGCACUUCUUCAAGCUCUUCUGAUUGCCUUCUCAUCCGUCAACAAUUGCAGGUCAAGCGUGAUAUUGUGCUGAGAGUGCUUGUGCUUUGGUCUCACCUUUUUCGGUUCUCAUUGUCAUUUGAUAUAGCUUGCUGCUUUGUCGAAUGAUUGUAGCUAAUAUGUAAGGGUUAAUUGCAUAUACUCUCUGUGGUAUCGUUUUUAAAUUGCAACCCCUGUAGUGUACAUUGUUGCAGAUGUGCCCUUGGGUUAAAAUUGUGACUGUUUUACCCUUGGACUUACUAAUUUCUAGCUAAAGUCAAACAAAAGGAUAUUGGAUUCGGUUUGAUGUUAUUUGGGCCUUCUCUGUUCUCUGAGCUUAUUGCCAGAAGUAGAAGGAAUUGUUUUUGUAUGUUGACAAAUGAUUCUUGUGAAGUUUCUUAUUUUUGGUGUUUGCAUUGGUGAGCUGAUAUAUUGUAAAGGUGGUUGUGCUUUGGUCUCACCUUUUUUGUUUCUCAUUGUCACUUGUUGUGGUGUUUGCUUCUAUGGUGAAUGAUUGUGGCUUAUAGUAUACUCCAAUAUAUUGGCAUCUGAUGGUUUGUGGUUUGGUA